UGCACCCGUUGUUGGGGGUGAAGGGAGACGGGAAGUCGAAGAAGAAGGCGGGCCGGCCGUCCGAAGGGAUCGAAAGGUAAGAGAAAGAUUCGACGUUUAGACCCAAACUGUUCGACAGAGAGAGAGACAGAGGGGCGGAGUUGGACGGGGCGGGACUAAAGGGAACACUCGUCGCUCCAGCGUACAAACCGCACGACGUUCAGGGUCUGGACUAAGGGACGAAGAGGCUGAGGACUGAUGGUGUGAGCCUGCAGCGCCCCCUGUCUGUGUGGAGACCAAACACUCUGUAAAAGACUGUAUGAGUGCUGAGUGUGGGGAAACUCUAACUGUUCCAGGAUCAGUGUGUGACGGACGGGACGCGUUUCAUUCCCCAGAACACAGCGCUUCCUGCUGAUGGACAGAGACGGAGACAGAGAGAGACAGUCUGGACAUUCUUCUGUAGAUAUUUUUCCUCUCAGCACUAGCUGUGUAGUCCUGUUUGAUUUUUUUCCCCCCCCACAAGCUGUGUCCACUUCCUCGUGUGUGUGAGUGUGUGAGUGUGUGAGUGUGUGUGUGUGUGUGUGUGUGUGUGUGUGUGUGUGUGUGAGAGAGCCCCUUUCUGUAGGAGUUUCUUCCUCUUUUUAGUCCAGGAAGUAAAAAAGCUUUGUAAUAAAAUGAUCUCGGGAACCGG